GGGCUUAUAGUGUAGUUGGUUAUCGCGCCCGCUUCGCACUCGAUUAGCACAGCCACUGGCUUACUUAAUCAUCGAUGCGGGAGGUGCUGGGUUCAAUUCCCAGUGAGUCCA